ACUCAAAUGAAUUGACGGGGACCCGCACAAGCGGUGGAGCGUGUUGUUUAAUUCGAGGCUAAGCGAAGAACCUUACCAGGGCUUGACAUCCUAGGAAUUACUACGAAAGUAGUGAGUGCCUUCGGGAAUCUAGUGACAGGUGUUGCAUGGCCGUCGUCAGCUCGUGUCGUGAGAUGUUUGGUUAAGUCCAUCAACGAGCGCAACCCUUAUGAUUAGUUGGAUUUUUCUAAUCAGACUGCCCCGGUAACGGGGAGGAAGGGGGGGAUGAUGUCAGGUCUGUAUUACCCUUACGUCCUGGGCUACAAACGCGCUACAAUGGCCGGUACAAAGGGCAGCGAAGUCGCGAGACGGAGCAAAUCCCAUCAAAGCCGGUCCCAGUUCGGAUUGCAGGCUGAAACUCGCCUGCAUGAAGUCGGAAUCGCUAGUAAUCGCAGGUCAGCACACUGCGGUGAAUACGUUCCCGGGUCUUGUACACACCGCCCGU
rnacentral:rRNA from 1 species